AUUGAACGCUGGCGGCAGGCCUAACACAUGCAAGUCGAGCGGGGUUUUCGGACCUAGCGGCGGACGGGUGAGUAAUGCGUAGGAAGCUGCCCGAUAGAGGGGGAUACCAGUUGGAAACGACUGUUAAUACCGCAUAAUGUCUACGGACCAAAGUGUGGGACCUUCGGGCCACAUGCUAUCGGAUGCGCCUACGUGGGAUUAGCUAGUUGGUGAGGUAAUGGCUGACCAAGGCGACGAUCUCUAGCUGGUUUGAGAGGAUGAUCAGACACGCUGGAACUGAGACACGGUCCAGACUCCUACGGGAGGCAGCAGUGGGGAAUAUUGGACAAUGGGCGCAAGCAUGAUCCAGCCAUGCCGCGUGUGUGAAGAAGGCCUUCGGGUUGUAAAGCACUUUCAGCGAGGAGGAAGGGGUGUGUUAAUAGUACACACCUUUGACGUUACUCGCAGAAGAAGCACCGGCUAACUCUGUGCCAGCCGCCGCAGUAACAC
rnacentral:rRNA from 1 species